AUGAUCUGUCCCUGGUUACUACUCUACCAUUCUCCUCCACUCAGCUAUAAUGAACUACUUCUUUUGCGCUGGUUCCUCUUCUUCCGAUCUCAUGGCCUUUCUUCAUACAACGGAUCUAACUCCAGGCCUCAGGCUGCGUCUGGGGAGGCCGCGCCCCCGCGGGUCUACACUGGCUGCCUGGGCCCACGUUGGCAAGGUGCCUCCCCCGGCCCGGGAGGAGUGAAGACGUCCGCACUUGGAGGCUUUAUUAAGCUUAUUUCCUAAUGGCCUUGGGUAGCCAAGUGCAAGAGAGGGACACUUGCUUAUGCGCCGAGAGGACCCAUCAUAUUCUUUCUUGGUGCCAAUACGGUCCCUUUCUGCCAAUGAGAAACCUGUAAGUUGAUCAGCUACCAUACCCCAAUUACUCAAAAUGACACUACAGAUAAAACGGCAACCAAGGGGAGAAUCAACUGUAUGGCUUCUACGCAGCUAAAGUGUGUUUGAACAAAUGGUGAAGUAAAACCAUGAGAGCUCUCGGGAGGAUAAGGACGCUGUUACUUUGCACAUGCUUCAGAAAUGUGAAGUACAUCUUUACAGAACUUUUUGCCAACCCCCUGGCAGAUGUUGACCAGUUUUGCUUAUGUAUACAUCGGUUGCAGAACACUAAAACAGAGAUUGGAAAUUUUAAUUUAGUCAAGGCAGUUGGGCUAAAAUGAUGGCUUUUGUUGAAA
rnacentral:lncRNA from 12 species